rnacentral:ncRNA from 1 species
AACCUAUUCAUGGUGAGCAGUGUGUGCUCAUGAUUAAGCCAUGCAUGUCUAAGUACACACGAAUUAACAGUGAAACCGCAAAAGGCUCAUUAUAUCAGUUAUGGUUCCUUAGAUCGUUAACAGUUACUUGGAUAACUGUGGUAAUUCUAGAGCUAAUACAUGCAAUUAAAACACGGACCUUUUGGAACGUGUGCUUUUAUUAGGCUAAAACCAA